rnacentral:rRNA from 1 species
CUAAAACUCAAAGGAAUUGACGGGGGCCCGCACAAGCGGCGGAGCAUGCGGAUUAAUUCGAUGCAACGCGAAGAACCUUACCAAGGCUUGACAUGAACCGGUAACGCCUGGAAACAGGUGCCCCGCUUGCGGUCGGUUUACAGGUGGUGCAUGGUUGUCGUCAGCUCGUGUCGUGAGAUGUUGGGUUAAGUCCCGCAACGAGCGCAACCCUCGUUCUAUGUUGCCAGCACGUGAUGGUGGGGACUCAUAGGAGACUGCCGGGGUCAACUCGGAGGAAGGUGGGGACGACGUCAAAUCAUCAUGCCCCUUAUGUCUUGGGCUUCACGCAUGCUACAAUGGCCGGUACAAAGGGUUGCGAUACUGUGAGGUGGAGCUAAUCCCAAAAAGCCGGUCUCAGUUCGGAUUGGGGUCUGCAACUCGACCCCAUGAAGUCGGAGUCGCUAGUAAUCGCAGAUCAGCAACGCUGCGGUGAAUACGUUCCCGGGCCUUGUACACACCGCCCGUCAAGUCACGAAAGUUGGUAACACCCGAAGCCGGUGGCCUAACCCCUUGUGGGAGGGAGCUGUCGAAG